rnacentral:rRNA from 1 species
AGUGAACGCUGGCGGUAGGCCUAACACAUGCAAGUCGAACGGCAGCACAGUAAGAGCUUGCUCUUACGGGUGGCGAGUGGCGGACGGGUGAGGAAUACAUCGGAAUCUACUUUUUCGUGGGGGAUAACGUAGGGAAACUUACGCUAAUACCGCAUACGACCUACGGGUGAAAGCAGGGGAUCUUCGGACCUUGCGCGAUUGAAUGAGCCGAUGUCGGAUUAGCUAGUUGGCGGGGUAAAGGCCCACCAAGGCGACGAUCCGUAGCUGGUCUGAGAGGAUGAUCAGCCACACUGGAACUGAGACACGGUCCAGACUCCUACGGGAGGCAGCAGUGAGGAAUAUUGGACAAUGGGCGCAAGCCUGAUCCAGCCAUACCGCGUGGGUGAAGAAGGCCUUCGGGUUGUAAAGCCCUUUUGUUGGGAAAGAAAAGCAGCAGGUCGAUACCCCGCUGUUCUGACGGUACCCAAAGAAUAAGCACCGGCUAACUUCGUG